GACGAACGCUGGCGGCGUGCUUAACACAUGCAAGUCGAACGGAAAGGCCCUGCUUUUGUGGGGGGCUCGAGUUGCGAACGGGUGGGUAACACGUGAGUAACCUGCCCUUGACUUUGGGAUAACUUCAGGAAACUGGGGCUAAUACCGGAUAGGAGCUCCUGCUGCAUGGUGGGGGUUGGAAAGUUUCGGCGGUUGGGGAUGGACUCGCGGCUUAUCAGCUUGUUGGUGGGGUAGUGGCUUACCAAGGCUUUGACGGGUAGCCGGCCUGAGAGGGUGACCGGCCACAUUGGGACUGCGAUACGGCCCAGACGCCUACGGGAGGCAGCAGUGGGGAAUAUUGCACAAUGGGCGGAAGGCUGAUGCAGCAACGCCGCGUGCGGGAUGACGGCCUUCGGGUUGUAAACCGCUUUCGCCUGUGACGAAGCGUGAGUGACGGUAAUGGGUAAAGAAGCACCGGCUAACUACGUG
rnacentral:rRNA from 1 species